AGAGUUUGAUCAUGGCUCAGGAUAAACGCUGGCGGCGCACAUAAGACAUGCAAGUCGAACGUACUUAACUCAUUCUUUACGAUUGAGAGCGGUUAGUGGCGGACUGGUGAGUAAUACGUAAGCAACCUGCCUAUCAGAGGGGAAUAACAGUGAGAAAUCAUUGCUAAUACCGCAUAUGCUAACAGUAUUGCAUGAUACAGUUAGGAAAGGAGCAAUCCGCUGAUAGAUGGGCUUACGCCUGAUUAGCUAGUUGGUGGGGCAACGGCCUACCAAGGCGACGAUCAGUAGCCGGACUGAGAGGUUGAACGGCCACAUUGGGACUGAGAUACGGCCCAGACUCCUACGGGAGGCAGCAGUCGGGAAUAUUGCGCAAUGGAGGAAACUCUGACGCAGUGACGCCGCGUAUAGGAAGAAGGUUUUCGGAUUGUAAACUAUUGUCGUUAGGGAAGAUAAAAGACUGUACCUAAGGAGGAAGCCCCGGCUAACUAUGUGCCAGCAGCCGCGGUAAUACAUAGGGGGCAAGCGUUAUCCGGAAUUAUUGGGUGUAAAGGGUGCGUAGACGGAGAGACAAGUUGGUUGUGAAAUCCCUCGGCUCAACUGAGGAACUGCAACCAAAACUAUUUCCCUUGAGUGUCGGAGAGGAAAGUGGAAUUCCUAGUGUAGCGGUGAAAUGCGUAGAUAUUAGGAGGAGCACCAGUGGCGAAGGCGACUUUCUGGACGAUAACUGACGUUGAGGCACGAAAGUGUGGGGAGCAAACAGGAUUAGAUACCCUGGUAGUCCACACCGUAAACGAUGGAUA
rnacentral:rRNA from 1 species